rnacentral:rRNA from 1 species
CCUACGGGUGGCAGCAGUGAGGAAUAUUGGUCAAUGGACGCAAGCCUGAACCAGCCAUGCCGCGUGCAGGAAGACGGCCCUAUGAGUUGUAAACUGCUUUUGUACGGGGGUAAACGCAGGUACGUGUACCUUUUUGAAAGUAUCGUACGAAUAAGGAUCGGCUAACUCCGUGCCAGCAGCCGCGGUAAUACGGAGGAUCCGAGCGUUAUCCGGAUUUAUUGGGUUUAAAGGGUGCGUAGGCGGUUUGUUAAGUUAGAGGUGAAAUCCCGAGGCUCAACUGCAGAAUUGCAUUUGAUACUGGUAGGCUUGAGAGUAGUUGAGGUAGGCGGAAUGUGUGGUGUAGCGGUGAAAUGCUUAGAGAUCAUACAGAACACCGAUUGCGAAGGCAGCUUACUAAACUACUACUGACGUUGAGGCACGAAAGCGUGGGGAGCAAACAGGAUUAGAUACCCCAGUAGUC